GUGGUGUCUGCCAGAGUGCUUGGAGUCCUCAGGAAGCGCUAGGAGCAUCCUUCAACAGAGGUACCCAGUCGGGGUGCCAGGCGAUCCGUUACAUUGGUGGCAAGCGGUGGGAUGGCGUCCUAGUGCGAGGUAAAGCAGCUCAGAGACACAGUUCGUUUGGAUUUACAAAUUGAAGGCGACACUAGUGUUUAUACAGCGUCCCUGUCUACA